rnacentral:ncRNA from 1 species
UUCCUUCAGGGCAGGGUGUAAUUCCCGACCGGCGGUAUCGGACGCAAAGUCCGGAGUCCGCGAGCCGAAAGGCAGAUCCGGUGAGAUGCCGGAACCGACAGUAGAGUCUGGAUGAAAGAAGGA